rnacentral:rRNA from 1 species
GAUGAACGCUGGCGGCGUGCUUAACACAUGCAAGUCGAACGAAGAGCGAUGGAAGCUUGCUUCUAUCAAUCUUAGUGGCGAACGGGUGAGUAACGCGUAAUCAACCUGCCCUUCAGAGGGGGACAACAGUUGGAAACGACUGCUAAUACCGCGUACGAUCUAAUCUCGGCAUCGAGGAUAGAUGAAAGGUGGCCUCUACAUGUAAGCUAUCACUGAAGGAGGGGAUUGCGUCUGAUUAGCUAGUUGGAGGGGUAACGGCCCACCAAGGCGAUGAUCAGUAGCCGGUCUGAGAGGAUGAACGGCCACAUUGGGACUGAGACACGGCCCAGACUCCUACGGGAGGCAGCAGUGGGGAAUCUUCCGCAAUGGACGAAAGUCUGACGGAGCAACGCCGCGUGAGUGAUGACGGCCUUCGGGUUGUAAAGCUCUGUUAAUCGGGACGAAAGGCCUUCUUGCGAAUAGUGAGAAGGAUUGACGGUACCGGAAUAGAAAGCCACGGCUAACUACGUG